rnacentral:lncRNA from 1 species
UCACGUGGCAAUGCCCAACCACAGUGGAGCCAGAAGAUACACUCCUCCCAAAGGGGGCACAAUGAACCCACAGCAACAGGAAGAGAUGUACAGUCCUCUUAUAGGCAAGCUGCAAAUAACUGGGAACAAUAAGAUCAUCUACCACAAGAAAUCUUUAAUAAUUUCCAAAAAAUUCUUUUCAUUUGAGUCUGUUUAAUUAAUGUGAGAUCAAUUACAGUUUAUCUUACAAUAACCAUAUUUUAGAUUUUAUCUUCCUUCAAGAUUCUAAUGUUGUCCCAAACCUCAGCUUACAUCUGAUGGUAGGCUGUUCUCAAGAUGGACAGCUGCAUAUAUUUUAUUCUAGUUUCUAUUUCCAAAAGAUACAUUUUCUCAUGUUGUCCCCAAAUUCUUGGACCUAAGGCCCCUCAACUCUAACUGACAUUAGUUUAGGAAAGAGAAGGUGAGGAGAAAGGGACUAAAGGUCAGUGUCCUACUCUCUGCCUGGUUGCUGAGUGAGUGAAUGAGCAAAUUAAUGGGCUAUGGCAACUACUGACUGUGUCCCUGGAGGGCCCGAUGAUCAGAAGUGUCAGGCUUUGACUUCAGCAGGAAGAAAUGGUGGUCAGUGUUUGAACAAACUUCCUGGUUUGAAGGAGUUUGGGGGCUGUGGCAGACAGACUCUUAAGGAGGCCUACAUGAUUUUGCCUCCUGGUGUUCACAUCCUUGUGUGAUCCCCACCCCUUGAAUGUGGGUCCUGUGACUUGCUUCUAACCAGUAGAACCUGACAAAUGUGACAGUGAUUGUGUGUACGUGAUGACAUGAUUAUAUCACACGAGAUUGUAACACUUGCCUUGCUGGCAUCUCUCACUCUCUUGCUGGCUUUGAAGAAGCAAGCUGCCAUGUUGUGGCUGCCUUUGUUGGAAGGUGAUGUGGCAAGGAACUGAGGACGGCCUCUAGGAGCUGAGGAUGGACUCCAGCUGACAGCCAGCAAGACACAGAAGCCUUCCAUCCUAAAGCUGUAAGGAACGGAAUCCUGCUAACAAAAGUGAUCCUUCCCCAGACGAGCCUCAGAUGAGGUGGAGCCCCGACCGACACCUUGAUUGCAGCCUUGUGAGACCCUACGCAGAGGACCCAGUCUGUGCCCAGACUCCUGACCCACAGAAACUGAGAUCAAGACAUUGGCUUGCUCACGAAGUGGACUCACUUGGUAGAAUCCAGGUGAGGUCCUCUGCUCAGGGAUUCGCAAGGCUGAAGUCAAGGUGUUGGCCAGUCUGCGUUCUCAUCUGGACGCUCGGGGGAAGAAUGUGCUUCCAACUUCAUUCAGGUGCUGGCAGAAUUCAGCUCCCAGCAGCUGUGUGAUUCAGGUCCCCGUUUUCUUGCUGGCUGUUGGAUGGGACUGCUUUUGGCUCCUAGAGGGUGCUCCCAGCUCCUCACCAUGUGGCCACCUCCACUGGCCGUUCGCAACAUGGCAGUUCACUCUUUAAGGCCAGCAAGAGAAUCUCUUUCCCUGUCAGCUGAAAUGAAGUCUUAUAUAACCUAAUCAUGACAUUAACAAACCCCCACCUUUGUCUUAUUAUGUAACCUCAUCACAGGAAUGGCACUCUAUCAUAUUCACAGGUCCUGUCCACUCUCAAGAGGAAGGAAUUACAUAGGAUGUGUAUACCAGCGGGCAGAACUCUGGGGGGCCAUCUUAGAAUUCUGCCUACCACGGGGCUGUGGGAUUAAAUAAGAUACUGUGUGUAAAACGCUUAGCUCAGUGCCUGGCCCAGAGAAAGACGCAAUAAGUGGUAGUCAUAGUCACCACCAUCAAUACGCAUAGUAGACAAAAUAAUGGCCCCCCAAAGAUGUCCUUGGAAUCUGUCAAUAUGUUAUGCUACGUGGCAAAGAAAAUGAAGGCUGCAGACGGAAUCAAGCUGGCUAAUCAGCUGACCUUAAAAUCGGGAAAUCAUCCUGGAUUUGCUCCUUAUGGAACCACAAGGGUCCUUCAAAGUGGAAGAGUGAGGCAGAAGAAGAGUCAGAACCAGAGAGAUGGCAGCAUGAAAAGACUUGGCCCAACGUUGCUGGCUUUCAAAAUGGAAGAAGAGGACCACGAGCCAAGGAAUGUGGGCGGCAAGGAAUGUGGCCAAGCUGGAAGGGGAGAGGAAUAGAUUUUCCCCUGGAGCCUCCAGGAAAGAAUGCAAGCCUGCUGUCACCUUGACUGUAGCCCGGCGAGACCUGUUUCAGACUUUGGACGUCCAGAACUGUAAGAUAAUAAAUGUGUGUUGUUUUAAGCCACUGCAUUUGUAGUAAUUUGUUCCAGCAUCCAUAGGAAACUAAUACAAUGUUAUGUGUUUUAUCAGGGCUACAGAAAAAGAUUAAAAUGACAGAGUUCAGGGUGCAUAUUGAUUCAUUGGCCAUUUAUAAAAGCCGGUUGAGAAACUGUGAAGUGGAGAAUCUGAAAUGGAGUAGGUGACAGUCUUCCUAUGGCCACUUUGCUCGGUCUGGGUGUAUGUGGUGUGAGGCCUAUGGAGGACGAAGACAGAGCAGAGCACUUCCAAAGGAGACUGACAUGAACGGAGGAGAAACUAGAGCUGAAAAGACAGUGGUGAUGUGCGGAUUGGAUGGGGUUGUUGGGAAAUAGUUGAUGAACUGUCUUUGGAAGAGAACUUAGAAAAGUUGUGCACAGUCCCGAGGGGAGAUGUACUGGGCGGAAGCUACCGGAACUCAGCGCUCAGCUCAGUAUGAGUAAUUGCUUUCUGGAAGUGAUGAUUGUAUCAGUUAGGAACAACAGAUCAGAACUAACAGUGGCUUAAGCAAGAGAGAAGUGUCUUUUCUGUCAUGGUAAAUGCCUUCUGGAGGUGAGAAGUCCAGGACUGGUUUGAAGGUACCAUGAUGUUAGGGAUCCAGGCUCCUUGAUGCGCCUUCUCCCCUAGGUUGAUGCCCUCACCCACACGGUCCAAGGCUGAGAAACAUCACAUCCAUAUUCCCAGAAGCAGGAAGGCGGAAGGGCACGGCCUUUAAGUUCACAUCCCAGAAGUUGCGUCCAUCACUUUUGCUCUCAUCUCAAUGACAAGAACAUGGGCAUAUGGCCUCCUGGCUGCAUAGGAAACUCAUUGUGGGUGGCCACGCAACUUGGCAAAAAGUUGGAGGUUUCUAUCACCAUGGAAAAGGAGGGAAAAAUUGAUUUGGGGGUUGGGGGGGGCAAGACCAACAAGCUCUGCAUAGUGAUGGCUGGGUUAUUUUGGAGGUAGGAUUUUGCUCUCUGUGCUGGACCCUCCCUGUUUUGACACUCCAAUAGCACCCUGAUUCCCCUUUUCAGAAAGAACCUCUCUCCCGUGGAAGUCUGAAGGGACUGUCAGUGGAGGUGCUGCUCUCCCAUAGCCAAGAGCUCCAGCAUUCAUUCUAACUCCAGCCUCAGGGAGAGACUGAUUCCUCUUACUCCUCGAACUGCCUAGUACCUGCCAUUUUUCAGACCAGUUCUCAAACCUUUCCUUGUCUGUCCAAACAUUUCCCUUCUGCUUUGAUCAAUUAGAGGGGAUUUCUUUUGCUUGCAACCUAUCACUCCUUACAGAUACACUCUCCCCGGAGUCUUGCAGCAGAAGCUUGCAACAUCUUG